UCGGAAAAUGAGAUUGCAGCUGUGUAACUGGAGCACACAACCAUAAAUCAGAAUGUCAAAUCCAAAGCACAUGACUUUUUGCGAGUUCUCCAUGUGUGCUAUAAUGUGAUUACAGCCUGGCUACUAUUAUGAUUUAAAACAAAGUCUUUCAUGCUAGAAACAAAAUGCGGAAUGCGAGCAGCCUCGGGGAGAGAGCUGUGUGCCGGAGACUUCGCCCCGCAUCGUCAGAGAGCUGCCUGGGUUUUGCUUGACGUCCAAGACAGAAAAAUAACAAUUCACGCCUCCAUCAAGGUGCUUAGGCCCCGGUUCAGGACGGCGCAUGCUUAAAUCCCGCCAGCUUCAAGGACUUGCGUGCUGAAGGGUUUUGCUGAGCAGGGAUGAGUUCAAAUGGGUGUUUCCAGCUCAGCAUAUGCAUGUGUGAGGGUUUUACCCACGGGGUGGGCCAGUGGCCACUCUGUCCAGCCUGCUGGGCUAUCGGUGGGCCUGGGAAUUUGGGGCCGUGGCCAGCGGUGGGCAUGACCUACCGUGGACUCUGGAGCCCUGAUGGAUGUAGCCCUUGGUGGCAGGGCGUUGGGUGGGGGCCGUUGCUUGCUACAUGGCCUGCCACCGCUUGCAUGCUGCUGCUUCAAUGAGGAGCCCCAUCACCCACGUCUGGCAUGGGGGGAGUUUGCCACCCCUGCUUUCGGGCACUCCCGCUCUCCUUAGGCUGAGCUAGCAUCAUCGCUGCACCUGUCUGCCUUUCUCCCUCCUUUCCUUCCUUCUCCCGACGCUCGUCCCCUCCCUUCCCUUCCUCCUGCUGUCUUCCUAUUCAGCUGCUAACAAAACCCCACCUGAAGGACUGAGAACCAGCAAAUGAUCCCUCUGAAAACGUCUUCUUUUGCAAGCUCUCAUCCUUUGCAAGCCGGCUGUCCCACAACUCGGCUUGUUUCUGUCCCUGAGAAAUUCUCUUUAGACGGCAAGGUCUUCAAGACAGCGGCAGUCUCUGACUCUGUGCAUGCAUGGUGCCUUGCAGAACAGGACUUCCUUGUGAGGGAGGAUGGCCUAAUCCAGUGGUUUUCAACCUUUUUUUUCAUUUGCAGACCCCUAAAAUAUUUUGAACGGAGGUGCGGACCCCUUUGAAUUGUAAGUGUGGGUAUUCGCAUACUUUUGAUCGAUCAUAGUCAUCUUUCGUAGACCCCUUAGACAUGCAGAUGUGUCUGUGGACCAUGAGUUGAAAACCACUGGUCUAGUAGUUGAGGCUGAUGAGACUUAGGUUUCAUUUCCUUCCCUGCAUAAUUACAUGGCGCAGAUCAUCCCAUUGCUGGUAUUUGGGGAGAGCUGGGGCUUGGUAGGUGAAUGGGCUGCACAUGUUACCGGUGGAAGGAUGCUAUGUUAUGAGAGUGAGUUGGAAAAAGGCAUCUUUCCUUUGGUUGAGCCCAAAGGGUUGCAGUGCUUGCUGCUGUGCAUUGUGAGGAGCCCUGUUGGAGUGAGUGUGCACGGCGAGUUCAUGCUGCCACGUGUACAAACGGCCAUGUCCCUCGUCAAGCAACGCUGAUGGAUCACUCCCGCACUUGAUCAGCACCGAAACAAGUCCGUCAUCAAGUAGACGCGCUGGAAUGCACACUCAUGUAGGCCUUUGCAGACAAUACUGAUUCAUCACCUCGAAAGCAAUUAAUAAAGCUCUGCUGGCCAUCGCCCUAUAUAUUGAGAAUGAUUUGCAAUUUGA